ACAUGCAAGUCGAACGGUAACGCGGGGGCAACCCUGGCGACGAGUGGCGGACGGGUGAGUAAUGCUUAGGAAUCUGCCCAUCAGGUGGGGGACAACCCGGGGAAACCCGGGCUAAUACCGCAUAAGUCCUACGGGAGAAAGCGGGGGACCGCAAGGCCUCGCGCUGAUGGAUGAGCCUAAGUCCGAUUAGCUAGUUGGUAGGGUAACGGCCUACCAAGGCGACGAUCGGUAGCUGGUCUGAGAGGAUGAUCAGCCACACUGGGACUGAGACACGGCCCAGACUCC
rnacentral:rRNA from 1 species